CUUAAUGAUGAGAAGAGGGUCGAAUGACCUCGGUGAUUGGCGCUGGAAAUUCUGAAC
rnacentral:snoRNA from 1 species